rnacentral:tRNA from 1 species
GUCGGGAUAGCUCAGCUGGAAACA